UUAAUUAAAACCAAAAUAGAGGUAUAUCACUGUUAAUGAUAAAAAUGAGUCUCAACUCUAAUUAAA
rnacentral:tRNA from 1 species